rnacentral:lncRNA from 1 species
CACAGAAGAAUAACAGAGGAGAUCCUCCUACAUCAAUAGUUGAUUGCUUGCUUCCUGCUUCUCAUUCUAAUGCUGAUAGAAUUCCAGGUGCAUUUGGAGAGACAAAUGGUUGUCAGCUUAAAAAUGAAACUUCCGGCUGUGUCUUAGCUCAAACAGAGAGGUCAACUAAAAAGAGAUCCAGAGGCCAUACUCGGACUCGAGACUUGGCUUCACUGACCAAAAUUGCACAGGGAGCAAUGCAUCUCAGUUCCACAAGCAGACGAGCAUAUGAUGUGCAGCAGGUUCGGGACAUAAAUGGACCCGAUGCAUGUGUAGAUGCUUUAGUUGCAGAAAUGCGCGGAACUUUGACUAGAAAGAAGAGAACCAAGAAGAGACUCCUUGUUAGUUCUGCAUCCUCCAGUACAAAUGUGGAACAAGCACAUGGAAAAAUCAUCUUAUACAAUCAGAACCUAUUCUCAGCAAACUCAUUAGGUAAUCAUGUUUAACAUAUAAUCAUUUUCAAAAGGAAUCCACCAUAUCAAAUGCUUCUCAUUUAUGUAGCCAUUUGAUGCAGUUGCUCUUCCAGAAGUAAUACGGGAACAGAUGUCUACUAUUGAUGCAAUAGCCGAGCAUUUACAGCAUCUAGACAUUAACAGAGAAGGUAGCAACUUCACAUACAUAGAACAGAAUGCACUUGUUCCUUAUAGUGCUGGAAAUGAACAGCAGAAUGCACUGGUCCUUUAUAGAAGCAACGGGACUGUUGUACCCUACACCGAUUCACUUAUUAAGAAACGACGCUCACGGCCUCAGGUUGACCUAGAUGAAGAAACCAACAAAGUAUGGAGACUUUUAAUGGCAAAUAUCAAUAGUGAAGGCAUUAAUGGAACUACUGAAGACAAGGCAAAAUGGUGGGAAGAAGAACGAAAUGUGUUCCGUGGCCGUGCGAACUCAUUUAUAGCACGGAUGCAUCUCGUGCAAGGUACAUAUAAUUUGGAAAGAUUUGUCUUUAUUGCAAUUCAAGUUGAUUAACUGCCCAAUUACUAGUCCAGGAACGUACAGGUUUGCAAAUUGAAGAUAACACUGCCAUAGAACUAUUGGCAAACUCUCAAUAUUGACAUGUGAUAUUUUGUAUCAAUUACACAUCGGCUAUUAGGAUUUUUCAGUCUAAAAUGCAAAGUGUCUGCGUACUGUCAUACAAACAUGUCACUAGCCAUUUCCAACAACUGGGCAUUAGAAAACCUGCCCCAAUAGCAUAUAGUCCAUUAGCAAAGAACCAACUUGUUAAAAGUUUAGGAAGCACAAAGACAGAUAGCAGCCAAAAUGCAUGCAAGGUUCAAAUCUAGACCAAUGUACUCUUAACAAACAUAAGCAUCUCAGCAAUUACAUACAUUAGAGCCUCUCCAAAAUAAUUCAUUGCUAAAUCAUUAACUGUUUUAUGUCAUGCCAUUUCUGCAGGGGAUAGGCGUUUCUCCCAAUGGAAGGGAUCGGUUGUAGACUCGGUGGUUGGUGUAUUUCUCACUCAAAAUGUCUCUGAUCAUCUUUCUAGGUAAGUUUGCGCUUCCACAAUAAUUGUAUUGCACUAUGCAAUUACAGGGGCAAAAAAGAAAAAACUUACCUGUUAAUCUUCUGCAGUUCAGCAUUUAUGUCACUUGCUGCACACUUUCCUCUGAAGUCACAGAGCCAUAAUGAACAAUGCUAUGAAGAAAGAACAGGCUCAGUAAUUGAUAAACCAAUAGUGUGCAUGCCAGAUCUAGAAGACACCUUAAAAUGGAACGAAGAGAUGUCCAAUCAAUCAAUUUGUGACCAAACUUCAAUGACGCUCCAUGACUCUGAGCUUGAUGAAGAAAGGGAAGCAGUCUACAGCAAUGAAUCCUCUACAAGCAGCACCGGCAUUGUUAACUCAAGUGGGCUAGAGACAUGCUAUGAAUCAAAGGAAAACAGAUCGACCACAGAGAUCAUCAAGAUAAUAGAUACUUGUGAUGUAAGAGAAAAGACGAGAGUAACAAAUGAUGCACUGUCAUUGCAACAUUCUGUGUUUUCAUCUCAUAACUUUGUGAAUUCACCAAUUGAUCAAACUGCUGAAAGAAAAGAAGCAUUCUCGGGCUCAGAAGCAGGAUUUGUAACCGAAGGACAUAGACCAAAUAUGUUGAAUAGUUGUAAUUCUUUUAUGGAGCUUCUGUUAAAGGUUGGAUGUGGCAAGCUCCAUGAGGUUCAUAGUAAUGGCAAUGGGAUCAUCUUAUCUGCUCAGUACUCACAGAACGAGUAUAACAAGACCCAAACCGUGGAAAAUAAUUUCCCUGUACAAAAGACACACCAUGACAAUACUCCUAAAAGCUCCUCGGAAGUUCCUAAUACCCCAUAUGAUAACUCUCAUUUGCACCUUUCCUCCAACACAAGUAAGAUCUUCCAGAUGAAUACAGAGGAAACAAGAUUUUCCAAUAAGGCCACCAACACAAACAGUAUGAAAGAACCAAGUUCCUUCACGGAAGAGUCUGCUAGUCAAAUUACAGAUGAAAAUAAUCUGACCAUGACGAGUCAAGCAUUAAGAUCUACUGUAAAUAACUUGACAUGCAGCAUGAUUCAAGAAGACAAGGAUGUGACCAUCCAGUCUCAAAGCAAGGAUCUAAACAUUGUCAUGAACUCACAGCCUCAGGAACAAAACAAUGAAAUGCAGCAAAACUUAAACUUGCCACUUUCAGAAGAAACCCUAGAUACUAUGGAGAGUAGCAGUGCACUUGACAAGCCAGAAAUUUUUUUACAGAAAACAACAGAAUCAGAUAUGAUUGAGCAUGGGUUUUCAGAAAUUAAGGAGCUUGAUGAGAUGAAUGCUGCAACCAGAAAAGCAAAGAGCAGGAGAGUUGGAAAGGAAAUAAGAGAAGAUGUUGACUGGGAUGCCUUGAGAAAGCAGGUAGAAGCAAAUGGGAGGAAAAGAGAAAGAACACCAAACACAAUGGACUCAUUGGACUGGGAAGCUGUAAGAUGUGCAGAAGUUAAUGACAUAGCCAACACAAUCAAAGAGCGUGGAAUGAACAACGUGCUGGCAGAACGAAUAAAGGUACAAUAAUUAGAUUCCAGAACAAAAUUCGUAAUAUAUGUUUUAUCCCAACACACAGCCUUUCAGAUCUGUUGACACUUUCAAGAAAUUCAUCCAGAAUUUCCUUAAUCGACUAGUAAGAGAACAUGGAAGCAUUGAUCUGGAAUGGUUGAGAGAUGUUCCGCCAGACAAAGCAAAGUAAGCCUACAACUUUAAUUCUAAAACAGCUUGAACACUAUAUUAUUUGCAGUUUAUUAGCAUAUCACCCUGUCAUGAUGGAUUUGUAUAUAUUACCUGCUUGACUGCUAUACAUGUCUAUGGAACUUGUUCUUGUAGAGAGUAUCUGCUGAGCAUAAGGGGACUGGGCUUGAAAAGUGUGGA